GCCCAGACUCCUACGGGAGGCAGCAGUGGGGAAUCUUCCGCAAUGGGCGAAAGCCUGACGGAGCAACGCCGCGUGAUCGAAUGAAGGCCUUCGGGUUGUAAAGAUCUGUUGACAGGGACGAAUAAGCAAUGCGAAUAGUUUUGUGUAUGACGGUACCUGUUUAGAAAGCUCCGGCUAACUACGUGCCAGCAGCCGCGGUAAUACGUAGGUGGCAAGCGUUGUCCGGAAUGACUGGGCGUAAAGGGAGCGUAGGCGGCGCGGUAAGUUAGGAGUGAAAUCCCGGGGCUCAACCCCGGAACUGCUUUUAAAACUGCCGUGCUUGAGUGAUGGAGAGGAAAGCGGAAUUCCUAGUGUAGCGGUGGAAUGCGUAGAUAUUAGGAGGAACACCAGUGGCGAAGGCGGCUUACUGGACUGUAACUGACGUUGAGGCUCGAAAGCGUGGGGAGCAAACAGGAUUAGAUACCCGAGUA
rnacentral:rRNA from 1 species